CAACUUCUACAGUUUGUUUCUUACCUUAAAUCAGAAUGUGAAGGGCAAAAAUUACAAUAUAAAAGUAGAAAUGGCUUCAAUUAUACUAGUUAAAAGGUACAUUAUAUGGAUGAUAAAUUCUGGCUAUUCUGGUCACAAAUUAAUAACAGUGAAGCCAGAGAAGAAAAGCAUCCCUAAAAAUGUAACUACAUCUUCUCAACUUUAUGCUCUUCCUUUCACUGUGAUAAAGUACCUAUUAAAUGCCCAGUAGAGUAUGUCUCCUGUUUAUGAAAAAAAUCCAACUGGCUUGAAUAUGGUGUUAUGAAGUUAUGUUUUGCUUAAUUCCUGUUUAUCUAAAUCACUUCAGACUAAUAUUACCUGUUGAAUUUUUAGGCAUCUUUCCUCUUCCAUUAAAAUGAGUGAGUUGAAGUAGAUUCUACUGACAAAAGGAUGGAAAACUCACAACCUUGAAGAAACAUAAGAAAUCCUAGAAAUCGUGCAGUAGAAUAUUUUAUGCUGACGAAACUAUAGCCUAGAUGAGAGAAGUUAAUCAAAAGACACAUGAUUUAUAAGAAAGCUAAAACAAAAUUCCCAAUCUAGUUCUCUUUCCAUAAGUUCUCGAAGUCUCCAGAAUGGCAAUGCCAAUAUUCUUAUCCCUGCUGUCACAAAAGGAACUUUUAUUCCAAAUAGGAAGAAGCAGAUACUUAUGUCUUAAAACAAACAAAGAAUUUUUUAAAAUAAAAGAAUGAACAAAAACACAAUGUAGGUUUUUAAGAAAUUACAUGCAAACAAAUGCACAAAGGAGACAAAAGUAUGGGCAGCUCUCAAGAAACUUUAAAUUUCUUUAUCAAUUAUUAAUCAUGAGAAAGCUAAUGAGAAAACAGAAAAAGUGUAACAGGUUGUGUUUCUAGAUUUUUUAUUAAAAUUCACCUAGACUUAGCUUAGUUCCUGUAGGUCUGAAUUGUUUUAUUUUAAUAAUUGAGUUUUUGCUCUUAUGUGACUGAAUUCAGUUGACUAAUCUAGGACUUCAUAGCACAAAAUUAAAUAUUUUAUCUCAGACCAGAUCAAUUUAUGCAAUCUAACCAUCUAAUCUCUCUUAUAUUAGAGAAACUGGGCUGGUGCCAUAUUCUCAAUACUCUUAAUUUCCCCUGUUUAUACCAUAUUAUAGUAACUAGCCUAGAUAUAUACUAGCCUAAGUAUGUCCUAUGUUGAAGUCAAAAAUGCAAAAAUAUUUAUUUCCUUUGACUUAAGUGAGUUAUUCUGAAGCACAAAACUCCCAAGAGUUCCCAAAUAGUGCUUUUCCUGGCCUUUUAUGGUGGUUCCUAGAAACUCUGUGAGAUUGGAGUGAAAAUUAGGUAAAGUAAGUUUAAGGAUUUAUAUACAUCCAGGUCUUUGGUCUCUCUGCCAGGCGUUAAAUCAGAGAGCAUACAGCAGUGUUUUCUUUGAUUGAAAACUGGCCCUGAUUAUAUUAGCUUCUUUAGCCUUUCCAGUCAUUAGUCCCCAUUGUAUGUUGCAAGGACCAUCGAGUUCUUUGAAGAAUGUAGUCCAUGUUCCUUCCCAGGGCAUUUUCUCCCAGUAUUCAAUAUUACAUGUCUCCUCAAUUAUCUUUAAUUACAGCUCUUCUUCUUUUACUAAGGCUUACCCUACAUCAAUUCCAGAGCCUGUUUGAUUAACAGCAUUUUAAUAUUUUUUUCUAUAAUUCAAUUCUUUCUGUUAGGUUGGUACAAAAGUAAUGGCAAAACCGCAAUUAUUUUUGCACCAACCAAAUAGAUACAUUGUAUGAUGUUUAAUCAGUUAACUUAAUCUCAUUAUUACUAUUAGAUGCUUCUCCAAGUAAAAAUGAAUUUGUAAACAUUGUAAUAAAAAUUCUUUUUAGUAGCAGUAUGUUGUAGACUACUAUUACCUAAAUCCAACAUCAUAUGAUAGCACGAAUCAUAAAAAUGUGGAAUGUAACUAGUUUACUAAGAGUCUAAGAUAAAUAUGUAGGCUAGAAUUUAAAAGAGCCUUAAAAAAAAAUUGGGGAUUGGAAAAUUAGAAGUCCAAGUCAAAAACAUUUAUAUAAAGUCCAAAGGAAGGUGCUAGAAAUAUAAAGGUACAUAUAUCAAUAAUUCAAAAUGAGCAUGCUAACUUUGAGCAGGUGAAGUCUUUUCCCUCAUGGUACACAACCUUCUAGAGAAGAAGUUUAUAUCUGAAGGGGGAGCUUAGGAUAUACAUAUUCUAAUGAUUUUAACUUAAUGAAAAUCUAUUGAGCUUCAAAUAUAGGCAAGGUAUUCUACAGAGAGUUAUGGAAGGAUAAAUCCUAAGAAUAAGGCAAGCAUACAGCGGACACCAGGACUCCAAGAUGGCGUCAGUCCUACCAGUGAAGGACAAGAAACUUCUGGAGGUCAAACUGGGGGAGCUGCCAAGCUGGAUCUUGAUGCGAGACUUCAGCCCUAGUGGCAUUCUCGGAGCAUUUCGAAGAGGUUACUACCGGUACUACAACAAGUACAUUAACGUGAGGAAGGGGAGCAUCUCGGGGAUUACCAUGGUGCUGGCAUGCUACGUGCUCUUCAACUACUGCCUUUCCUACAAGCAUCUCAAGCACGAGCGGCUCCGCAAAUACCACUGAAGGGGACACACUCUGCACCACCCCCUGACCCCAUGACCUUGGCCCCAGCCCCUCCGUGAGGAACACAAUUUCGAUCUUGCUGAAUCUUUUCAUACCCUAAUGGGAAUUAACCUCCAAAUAAAAGAUGACUCGUACAUGUAAAAAUAAAAUAAAAUAAAAAAUAAGGCAAGCAAAGUGCUCUAUUGGAGACAGGUUGGGGUAGGCUCACAUCCAGGUCUACAUCAAGAACAAAUGACUUCGGGAAUGGCCUAAGCUUCCCAGAAGCUUACAAUCAAGAAGGUAAAAAAUUUUCAGUGGGAUGAAGACCUGGGUGAUGUUGAAUACUGGGGAAAACAGAGAGGAAACGUUUCUCUCAAGGGAAACAAAUGUUAUCAGGGCUUGUCGCAUAUUCAAUUUCUAAAAAGAAGCAAUGAGAGAACAUUCCAGAGAGAAGAAAGGUAAAUCUGAUUUUUAAAACUAUUUGAUGACAGAGAACUCAAGCGAAAACCAGCCGACAUUGUGUAUUCAUAUUACACAAUUAAUUUGCCUUUGUUCAAAGGACUGAUUACCCCAUCGUUAUAACCCCAAGGAAGAGAGAGAAGAUAAGUUGUGCCAUUUAUGAAAGUAAACCAGACAGAAGAAUCACUUGAGCCUGGGAGGCGGAGGUUGCAGUGAGCCGAGAUCGCGCCAUAGCACUCCAGCCUGGGCAACAAGAGUGA